AUUGAACGCUGGCGGUAGGCUUAACACAUGCAAGUCGAGCGAGCGGCGGAUGGGUGCGUAAUGUCUGGGAAACUGCCUGAUGGAGGGGGAUAACUACUGGAAACGGUAGCUAAUACCGCAUACCAUUAGCCGUGCCCAGAUGGGAUUAGCUCGUAGGUGGGGUAAUGGCUCACCUAGGCGACGAUCCCUAGCUGGUCUGAGAGAAUGACCAGCCACACUGGAACUAGGACACGGUCCAGACUCCUACGGGAGGCAGCAGUGGGGAAUAUUGCACAAUGGGCGCAAGCCUGAUACAGCCAUGCCGCGUGUGUGAAGAAGGCCUUCGGGUUGUAAAGCACUUUCAGCGAGGAGGCGUUACUCGCAGAAGAAGCACCGGCUAACUCCGUGCCAGCAGCCGCGGUAAUAC
rnacentral:rRNA from 1 species